GACUUCCCAAGGAAUGCAAGAAGACGUACUGGACACAAAUGAAGCUUUGUUGCCUUCUGCAAUUGAUAUUCCGCAUGGCGAUGUAAUUAGAACUCAAAAUAGGGUAAUUACUCAGGGAUCUCAAGGUUGAUUUUCUAGUUCUCACUUUUGAGGGCAUUCUGUUUAAUACUACUUUGUGUGUUUCUUUUGUUUGUUGCCUCUGAUACUACCAUGGAGCAAUAUAAAGCUUAAAUUGGAAGGCAUAUGCUGCAUAUUUGUAUGGAUGGGAGCUCAAACCCAUAUAUCAAGUGAGGAACGCAGCCCUAUGAGUGAAGAAACUUGAAGAUCUUUAAUGAUCAUGGUUUUGCCACUGCUUUGUUAUUUUGGGAACUCUGUGGUGUUAAGCAAUUUCUUUGUUAUUGCCUUAGGAAUUUAUAAACAAUGUUUUAUCAUUUAGGAAAUUGA